UUUUCCAGAAACCGUCAGACUCUCCAGUGAUGAUACUGCGAACUUUCACAACAGAAUCUUCAUCAUCUCUUGUACAAGACCAAAGACUAAAAGGCAAAUAUUCAUCACUAACUUUGAGCCGUUUAUUUAUUAGUAAUAUAACUGUUCAUGAAUUAGGAAUAUAUUAUUGUGCAAAACCUGGCAUAACUCUACAGAUCAGCAUUGGCACCAGACUUUACAUCAACGAAACUGCUCGAGAUCACAAUCAGACAGAACUGAAAAAUAACUCGCAAUUUCAGAAUACACAGCAAUCUCUCAUAGUUUUGUGCUUCAUACCAAAUAUUGUGAUGUUUUUGGCAAUAAUAGGUCUAUUUCAGAUCAAACUCCAAGCGUGUAAAAAAAGACACCAACAA
ensembl:lncRNA